UUAGAUGAUUAUAAACGUCUUUCUCAGUCACAUGCUUCGUGUCCUUGCAGUCAAGCUGCAGAGACUCAGUGUGCAAUACUGCCACCACUCCCAUGAUGCAAGCUAUCUUCAGAUAAGAUUAAAAGCUAUCUAGAAGCAGAAGUAAGCCUGAUGAUCUGCAUGCAAGAAAGUAUUUAGGAAUAAGCCCAAAACUUCUACAAGUCAAAUGUUGUCGCCCCCAUCAAACCAGGUAAACAUUGAAUGCACUGUUGCUUUCUUCUACACUGCUGAAGAUCAAUUGAAAGCAGCAACAACAAAAUUGAAUUCAGGUUGGCCAGCUCCAAGCAGUAAUACUCCAAGAGGGAACACACCAAAACAAGAGCAUACACAAUAAUUCUACAUAAACCAAUAGAUUGCAACCAACACAAUGAUCACUUGAUUUCUUGAAGAACUUCUGGAAUCAAGUCCCAGUAUACUGGAGCCAAGCAAUAGACACCCCAACUAUGUUUAGAGCAAUAAACCACUCGAUCAAAUAUGCCUUCCAAAUAAUGAAGAUGGAGUAAUUAUAUCUUAAUUUUAUUCUCCAUGGAGGACCGGGCCUUCCAUACUUGGUAGUUCUGCAAGACUCCUCCAAGAACUGAAACUUACCAAAAACAAAUACUUAAAAGGUUACUUUUUCAAUUGGUCCCUAACUUGCUAAAUUUUUCUGAGUGAGUCCUCCAAAAACUGAAAUUUACCAUGGUAUAUUUUACUAACUAUCAGGGUACAUUUGGAAGAACAAUUUAAUCAAAGUUUCUAACAUGCUUAUUAAAUGGGAGCUUAGUUAUAAAACUUAACUGCAAAUUUAGGCUAAAAAGCUUAUUUUGAUAAAUUUGCUCGUAAGACCUUUUUCAGCUGAAAAAAAAAAGGCCUCAAAGGUCGCAAGACCAAAUAAACCCCUUAAAUCACUCACAGAUGUUUUCAUAUAGAUUAUAUUGGCUAACGCCAUUUAGACCCGAUUGAUGCUUGUUUAAAGUCAAUGUAGGCCUUUUUGCCGUUGCUGCAAUCGACUUUAUUAUAAAAGUAUAAAUAUCUAAUCAAAAUUUUACACACCAAAAAUGCCUAUUUGAGAAUUCAAUGAAACUAAAGGACCAAUAGUUUAACCUAUUAUUGAAAUUUCAUUCAAUCUGCGCUUUCAUAGAUCCCUUUUGGUUAAAUUAAUUUUUGUUUUCCUUCUUCUUCUUAUUUCAGUUAGCUUACUUGACAACGUAUUCGUUCAAGGUCGUGACCCCUUUGCAAAAGGAUGGUUCACACAAGUAAAAAGACAAAUCCAUAUUAAAGAUUCAAAAUCAUGACGUCCUUGUCCAUAUUCCAAAUAGGUUUCUCUCCAAUGGAAACUUCACUAGGCCGUAGAUGAAAAGCGGGACGGAAGAAAAAAGAACACGAAGAUCGUUAUAUUGAUAAUGAGGAAUGCUAACAGUCUCUGACACUCUCUUCCCAAGACUUGGUUAGAAUUUAUUAGAAAUCAUAAUUUUCAGUGGUUAAAUUUCUAAAUCAGGAGAGAAAAAUAAGAGGAACUCACCAGAAAGUGUUUUUUGAACAGCCGAAGCAUCAAGCCAACCCUUUCACUGUUCAUAUAGGCAAAGAAGCAGAUGCAUAAUCGUCAUGAAUUAUGCAAAAGGAAAUUCCAUAAAUGCUUCAACCAAACUAAAUUUCUAUCAUAUAUCUUUUGUCGCCGCUAAUAGAAGGUAUUAAAGACAGACUAAAAAAAAGGUAUUGUAGACAAAAGGCAAGGAUACGGUAAUAAAAAUGUGCUUUUCGGGCAACUCUGCCCUUCAGAAGUAAAGGGAUAAUGUUUUGAUAAAGGGAAUCCUCUGAAAUUACAAUACCCUGCAAAACAUUUCAACUCACAAUCGCAUGCUACCGACAUCACCAGCAUCACCCUUCUACCUCAAAACAUUUGCAGCACAAAUCCUCUAUAUUAUCGACUGGCAAAGAAGAGGUAUAGAGAUUCUCCACAAUAGAACAUCUCCAUAAGAUUAGUACCAAAACUGGGUAGUCCAAGUCUCACCGUAAUGCGAAUAUGCGACUCCACAAACAGAAAGGACGAUUAUAGUAGUCGGAGAAAUAGAAUCUACCUCUUACAUUUAUAAGACUCAAUACACUACUGUAAAUAGCUGAUUGUGAUUCUGCGUUUGAAUGCAGAAUACACUCACGAGAUUAACGGAAGAAAUAGCAAAAGCAGAAAACGCUCAGCCCCUGAAUUUUCAUAGAUGCACAUACAUACCAUCAUAUACAAUCUGAACUAUAUACAAAACAAUAACAUAAACGCAAUCAAUACUUCCCAAAGCAUUUAAUAACACACAAUUCAAGUCCAAAACUAACCGUCCAUAAAAUCAUCAAACACCACAAAGAAAGCAAUCCCACACAUUUUGUCAAUUGACAGCAUCAAUUCAACCAAGCUUUCCCGAUACUUGAAAUGAUGCUGCAUUUCUAGAAACAAAGCACAGCACAAACUUAAAGAGAAGAGAAGAAUAAAAUAAGCACAAUAGCAGGCAAAGGUAGCAAAGAAAGAAGAAGAAAUGGUGGAAAUUUUAUGAUAGUACUACGAACUUUAGAGCCAGAGAGAAUGUUGGGCGAUCCAAUUCAAAAUAUAGAUACGACGGUGGUGUCCCAAAUCGAAAGUAGAGAUUGGUAUCUCUCCCCUGACCCAGCACAAAAGGAUGUGGAGGAGGAACACAC
rnacentral:lncRNA from 1 species